rnacentral:rRNA from 1 species
UACGUAGGGUGCGAGCGUUAAUCGGAAUUACUGGGCGUAAAGCGUGCGCAGGCGGUGAGCUGUGUCCGAUGUGAAAUCCCCGGGCUUAACCUGGGAAUGGCAUUUGGGACUGCAAGGCUGGAGUGUGGCAGAGGAGACUGGAAUUCCUGGUGUAGCAGUGAAAUGCGUAGAUAUCAGGAGGAAUACCGAUGGCGAAGGCAGGUCUCUGGGCUGACACUGACGCUCAUGCACGAAAGCGUGGGGAGCAAACAGG